rnacentral:rRNA from 1 species
UGUUGCUUGCAAGGGCGUAUGGUGGAUGCCUUGGCAGACAGGACCGAUGAAGGACGUUUGAGGCUGCGAUAUGCCUCGGGGAGCCGCCAACAGGGCUUUGAUCCGAGGAUUUCCGAAUGGGGGAACCCACCGACCGUCAUGGGUCGGUACCGGCUUCGGCCGGGGGGUACGCAGGGAAGUGAAACAUCUCAGUACCUGCAGGAAAGGAUAUUCCGUGAGUAGUGGCGAGCGAAAGCGGAUGAUGGCCAAACCUUGCGCGUGUGAUACCCGUCGGGGGUUGCGCGCGGGGUGUUGCGGGAUCGCGUGCGCCGGCUCCGACGGGCCGGCCGGCAGUUGCAGAAAACCAUGUGUCAGGGGAACCGGGUUGAAUACCGGGCCGCAGAGGGUGAGGGCCCCGUACCUGAACGCGCAUGGUCUGCCGAUCGCGUCUCCCAAGUAGCACGGGUCCCGUGGAACCCCGUGCGAAUCCGCCCAGACCGUUGGGUAAGCCUGAAUAUUCCUGUCUGACCGAUAGCGAACGAGUACCGUGAGGGAAAGGUGAAAAGUACCCCGGGAGGGGAGUGAAACAGUCUCUGAAACCGUGCGCCUACAAUCCGUCGGAGCCCUUUUGUGGGGUGACGGCGUGCCUAUCGAAAAAUGAGUCUGCGAGUCAGUGGCAUGUGGCGAGCAUAACCCGUGUGGGGUAUGCGUAGCGAAGGCGAGUCUUAAAAGGCGUUUGAGUCGCGUGUCCUGGACCCGAAGCGGGAUGAUCUAGCCCUGAGCAGGUUGAAGCGCGGGUAAGACCGCGUGGAGGACCGAACCCACCUGGGUUGAAAACCGGGGGGAUGACUUGGGGCUAGGGGUGAAAGGCCAAUCAAAUUCCGUGAUAGCUGGUUCUCUCCGAAAUGCAUUUGGGUGCAGCGUCGGGUCAUUACGUCCCGGGGGUAGAGCUACUGGAUGCUUGCGGGCCCGUAUCGGGUACCAACAGCAACCAAACUCCGAAUACCGGUGACGCGUAUCCCGGCAGUGAGUCGGCGGGGGAUAAGCUUCGUCGUCGAAAGGGAAACAGCCCAGACCGUCGUCUAAGGUCCCGAAGCGUGUGCUAAGUGGGAAAGGAUGUGGAGUCGCAUAGACAGCCAGGAGGUUGGCUCAGAAGCAGCCACCCUUGAAAGAGUGCGUAACAGCUCACUGGUCUAGUGGUUCCGCGCCGACAAUGUAGCGGGGCUCAAGCACACCACCGAAGACGCGGCAGUAUUUUGUACUGGGUAGGAGAGCGUCCCAUGAGGGGCGAAGCGGCCGUGUGAACGCGCCGUGGACUUCAUGGGAGUGAGAAUGCAGACAUGAGUAGCGAGAGACGGGUGAAGAUCCCGUCCGCUGGAUGACCAAGGGUUCCAGGGCCACGUUCAUCGUCCCUGGGUGAGUCGGGUCCUAAGGCGAGGCCGACAGGCGUAGUCGAAUGGAUGAACGGGUCGAUAUUCCCGUACCGGCUUUCAGCCGCCAAAACCGAGGCUUGGAGUACUAACCUCCGGGUCCGGGCUUACUGCUCCUUCGGGGGCGGGAUGCCCUGGCCUGUUGGGACCGAUCCUUGUAGUAGGUCAGCGCAGGAGUGACGCAGAAGGGUAGCCGGCCGCGGAGGUGGUCUUCCGUGGUCAAGCACGCAGGGCGUGGGACAGGCAAAUCCGUCCCGCAUGGGUCCGAGGUGCGAUGAUGGGGGCCUUAUGGCCCGAUAUCCGGUGAUCCCGGCUGCCGAGAAAAGCUUCGGCGUCAGGCUCAAAGCCGCCCGUACCCCAAACCGACACUGGUGGUCAGGUAGAGAAUACCAAAGCGAUCGAGCGAAUCCUGGUCAAGGAACUCGGCAAAUCACUCCCGUUCCUUCGGUUUAAGGGAGACCCCCGAUGGUGAACACACUUGCUGUGGGAGCUUUUGGGGGUGGCACAGACCAGGGGGUAGCGACUGUUUACCAAAAACACAGGUGCAUGCGAAGGCGCAAGCCGCUGUAUAUGCACUGACGCCUGCCCGGUGCCGGAAGGUUAAGAGGAUCCGUCAGCCUUCGGGUGAAGCGGUGAAUUCAAGCCCCGGUAAACGGCGGUGGUAACUAUAACCAUCCUAAGGUAGCGAAAUUCCUUGUCGGGUAAGUUCCGACCUGCACGAAUGGCGUAACGACUUGGGCGCUGUCUCAACCAUGGACCCGGUGAAAUUGUAUUAUUCGUGAAGAUGCGAAUUACCUGCGGAAGGACGGAAAGACCCCGUGAACCUUUACUGCAGCUUGGCAUUGGCUGUUGGUGCGGUGCGUAGAGGAUAGGCAGGAGCCUGCGAACCGGGAACGCCAGUUCCCGGGGAGGCGCCCUUGGAAUACUGCCCUCACCGCAUCGGCAGCCUAACGCGCCGCCCUCAUCGGGGGCGCGGACCGUGCCAGGUGGGUAGUUUGACUGGGGCGGUCGCCUCCUAAACUGUAACGGAGGCGUGCGAAGGUUCGCUCAGGGCGGUUGGCAAUCGCCCGCAGAGCACAAGAGUACAAGCGAGCCUGACUGCGAGACCAACAAGUCGAGCAGAGACGAAAGUCGGUUCUAGUGAUCCGGCGGCCCAGCGUGGAAUGGCCGUCGCUCAACGGAUAAAAGGUACUCCGGGGAUAACAGGCUGAUCUUGCCCAAGAGUCCACAUCGACGGCAAGGUUUGGCACCUCGAUGUCGGCUCAUCGCAUCCUGGGGCUGUAGCAGGUCCCAAGGGUUGGGCUGUUCGCCCAUUAAAGCGGUACGCGAGCUGGGUUCAGAACGUCGUGAGACAGUUCGGUCCCUAUCCUCCGUGGGCGCAAGAGAAUUGAGAGGAUCUGUCCCUAGUACGAGAGGACCGGGAUGGACGCACCUCUGGUGCCGCAGUUGUCGACCAACGGCACAGCUGCCUAGCUACGUGCGGAACGGAUAACCGCUGAAAGCAUCUAAGCGGGAAGCCGGCCUCGAGAUGAGUUCUCUCUUCGGUAAGGCCACUUGUAGACCACAAGUUCGAUAGGCCGCAGCUGCAAGCCCCGCGAGGGGCUCAGGCGAGCGGUACUAAUCGGCCGAGCUCUUCAUCUC